GACGAACGCUGGCGGCGUGCUUAACACAUGCAAGUCGAACGGAAAGGCCCUGCUUUUGUGGGGUGCUCGAGUGGCGAACGGGUGAGUAACACGUGAGUAACCUGCCCUUGACUUUGGGAUAACUUCAGGAAACUGGGGCUAAUACCGGAUAGGAGCUCCUGCUGCAUGGUGGGGGUUGGAAAGUUUCGGCGGUUGGGGAUGGGCUCGCGGCUUAUCAGCUUGUUGGUGGGGUAGUGGCUUACCAAGGCUUUGACGGGUAGCCGGCCUGAGAGGGUGACCGGCCACAUUGGGACUGAGAUACGGCCCAGACUCCUACGGGUGGCAGCAGUGGGGAAUAUUGCACAAUGGGCGGAAGCCUGAUGCAGCAACGCCGCGUGCGGGAUGACGGCCUUCGGGUUGUAAACCGCUUUCGCCUGUGACGAAGCGUGAGUGACGGUAAUGGGUAAAGAAGCACCGGCUAACUACGUG
rnacentral:rRNA from 1 species